rnacentral:rRNA from 1 species
AACGAACGCUGGCGGCAGGCCUAACACAUGCAAGUCGAACGCCCUGGCAACAGGGAGUGGCAGACGGGGGAGUAACGCGUGGGAACGUGCCCUUCGGUUCGGAAUAACUAAGGGAAACUUGAGCUAAUACCGAAUACGUGCGAGAGCAGAAAGAUUUAUCGCCGAAGGAUAGGCCAGCGUCGGAUUAGCUAGUUGGUGAGGUAAUGGCUCACCAAGGCGACGCUCGGUAGCUGGACUGAGAGGAUGGUCAGCCACACUGGGACUGAGACACGGCCCAGACGCCUACGGGAGGCAGCAGUGGUGAAUAUUGGACAAUGGGCGCAAGCCUGAUCCAGCCAUGCCGCGUGAGUGAUGAAGGCCCUAGGGUUGUAAAGCUCUUUCGCCAGGGACGAUAAUGACGGUACCUGGAUAAGAAGCCCCGGCUGACUUCGUGCCAGCCGCCGCCGUAA